rnacentral:sRNA from 1 species
GCUGGGUGUGGUGGUGCACACCUGUAAUCCCAGUGACUCUGGAGCCUGAGGCAGGAGAAUCACAAGUUCAAAGUCAGCCUUGACAAUUUAGUGAGACCCUCUCAA